UAAUUAGGGUUGUUUAGAUUUUGUACUUUUCGCAAAUUAUAUAUUUCUAAAACUCCAUUUGCGAAAAAUGGCAUCAAAUCAUUAGUUUCGCAGACCGGAGGGGGCCCCCCCACCUCACUACAUGAUUGGACUAUUCCAUUAUCUCACUUACUGCGCAUCUGCGAAAGUGACAAGGCUGUAAUGCGCCAAAAUACGGAGAAAAAAAAGUGACAGACAGACAGGGUGCGUGUGUAGAGUG